rnacentral:rRNA from 1 species
GUGCCAGCAGCCGCGGUAAUACGUAGGGCGCAAGCGUUGUCCGGAAUUAUUGGGCGUAAAGAGCUCGUAGGCGGUUUGUCGCGUCUGCUGUGAAAGCCCGGGGCUCAACCCCGGGUCUGCAGUGGGUACGGGCAGACUAGAGUGCAGUAGGGGAGACUGGAAUUCCUGGUGUAGCGGUGAAAUGCGCAGAUAUCAGGAGGAACACCGAUGGCGAAGGCAGGUCUCUGGGCUGUUACUGACGCUGAGGAGCGAAAGCAUGGGGAGCGAACAGGAUUAGAUACCCUGGUAGUCCAUGCCGUAAACGUUGGGCACUAGGUGUGGGGGACAUUCCACGUUCUCCGCGCCGUAGCUAACGCAUUAAGUGCCCCGCCUGGGGAGUACGGCCGCAAGGCUAAAACUCAAAUGAAUUGACGGGG